GAUGAAGAACGUAGCAUAAUGCGAUAAGUAAUGUGAAUUGCAGAAUUCAGUGAAUCAUCGAAUCUUUGAACGCACAUUGCGCCCGCCAGUAUUCUGGCGGGCAUGCCUGUUCGAGCGUCAUUUCAACCCUCAGGCCCUCGGGUUUGGUGUUGGGGAUCGGCGAGCCUUUCUGGCAAGCCGGCCCCGAAAUCUAGUGGCGGUCUCGCUGCAGCCUCCAUUGCGUAGUAGUAAAACCCUCGCAACUGGAACGCGGCGCGGCCAAGCCGUUAAACCCCCAACUUCUGAAUGUUGACCUCGGAUCAGGUAGGAAUACCCGCUGAACUUAAGCAUAUCAAUAAGCGGAGGA
rnacentral:misc_RNA from 1 species